rnacentral:rRNA from 1 species
UACGUAGGGGGCGAGCGUUGUCCGGAGUUACUGGGCGUAAAGCGCACGCAGGCGGUCUGCUAAGUUUGGAGUGACAGUUGGUGGCUUAACUGCCAAAGUGCUUCGAAAACUGACAGACUUGAGGGCUUCAGAGGGACACGGAAUUCCGGGUGGAGUGGUGAAAUGCGUAGAGAUCCGGAGGAACACCAAAGGCGAAGGCGGUGAGCUGGGCAGUUGCUGACACUGAGGCGCGACAGCGUGGGGAGCAAACAGG